rnacentral:ncRNA from 1 species
GGUGAAAGACUAUAGCAAGAGAGACUUAGAGAGUCACAAAGGAACAAACUAUGCAGCUUGUCUUCCUACCCAGGUACAUCCUACAAGGACCUAGUCAUGUUACUCUCAAAUAGUUUGUCUGACAUCGAAAGGGAGUCGGGUUCAGAUUCCCGAAUCCGAAGUGGCGGAGAUGGGUGCCGCGAGAUGUCCAGUGCGGUAACGCAACCGAUCCCGGAGAAGCCGGCGGGAGCCCCGGGGAGAGUUCUCUUUUCUUUGUGAAGGGCAGGGCGCCCUGGCAUGGGUUCACCCUGAGAGAGGGGCCCGAGCCUCGGAAAGCGUCGUGGUUCCGGCGUUGUCUGGUGAGCUCUCGCUGGCCCUUGAAAAUCCGGGGGAGAUGGUGUAAAUCUUGCGCCGGGCCGUACCCAUAUCUGCAACAGGUCUCCAAGGUGAACAGCCUCU